UAAAGAUUCAUCGGCUGCGGAUGGCCAUGCGGCGCAUUAGCUAGUCGGCGGGGUAACGGCCCACCGAGGCGACGAUGCGUAGGGGUUCUGAGAGGAAGGUCCCCCACACUGGUACUGAGACACGGACCAGACUCCUACGGGAGGCAGCGGUGAGGAAUAUUGGUCAAUGGCCGGGAGGCUGAACCAGCCAAGUCGCGUGAGGGAAGACGGCCCUACGGGUUGUAAACCUCUUUUGUCAGGGAGCAAGAGGCGGGUCGAGACCUGCUGUGAGAGUACCUGAAGAAAAAGCAUCGGCUAACUCCGUGCCAGCAGCCGCGGUAAUACGGAGGAUGCGAGCGUUAUCCGGAUUUAUUGGGUUUAAAGGGUGCGCAGGCGGAGGCACAAGUCAGCGGUAAAAUCGCGGGGCUCAACCCCGCUCCGCCGUUGAAACUGUGUCCCUUGAGUGCGCGAAGGGUAGGCGGAAUGCGUGGUGUAGCGGUGAAAUGCAUAGAUAUCACGCAGAACUCCGAUCGCGAAGGCAGCCUACCGGCGCGCAACUGACGCUCAUGCACGAAAGCGUGGGUAUCGAACAGGAUUAGAUACCCUGGUAGUCCACGCAGUAAACGAUGAAUGCUAUCUGUCCGGCCGGAAUGACGGCUGG
rnacentral:rRNA from 1 species